rnacentral:rRNA from 1 species
AUUGAACGCUGGCGGCAUGCUUUACACAUGCAAGUCGAACGGUAACAGGCCGCAAGGUGCUGACGAGUGGCGAACGGGUGAGUAAUGCAUAGGAACGUGCCCAGUCGAGGGGGAUAACUAUCCGAAAGGAUAGCUAAUACCGAAUACGAGAUGAGGAUGAAAGCGGGGGACCUUCGGGCCUCGCGCGAUUGGAGCGGCCGAUGUCAGAUUAGGUAGUUGGUGGGGUAAAGGCUCACCAAGCCAACGAUCUGUAGCUGGUCUGAGAGGAUGACCAGCCACACUGGGACUGAGACACGGCCCAGACUCCUACGGGAGGCAGCAGUGGGGAAUUUUGGACAAUGGGCGCAAGCCUGAUCCAGCAAUGCCGCGUGCAGGAAGAAGGCCUUCGGGUUGUAAACUGCUUUUGUACGGAACGAAACGGCUCUGGUUAAUACCUGGGGCUAAUGACGGUACCGUAAGAAUAAGCACCGGCUAACUACGUGCCAGCCGCCGCCGUAA